rnacentral:rRNA from 1 species
UGGGGAAUUUUGGACAAUGGACGAAAGUCUGAUCCAGCCAUGCCGCGUGCGGGAAGAAGGCCUUCGGGUUGUAAACCGCUUUUGUCAGGGAAGAAAUCCUUUGAGCUAAUACCUCGGGGGGAUGACGGUACCUGAAGAAUAAGCACCGGCUAACUACGUGCCAGCAGCCGCGGUAAUACGUAGGGUGCAAGCGUUAAUCGGAAUUACUGGGCGUAAAGCGUGCGCAGGCGGUUAUGUAAGACAGAGGUGAAAUCCCCGGGCUCAACCUGGGAACUGCCUUUGUGACUGCAUAGCUUGGGUGCGGCAGAGGGGGAUGGAAUUCCGCGUGUAGCAGUGAAAUGCGUAGAUAUGCGGAGGAACACCGAUGGCGAAGGCAAUCCCCUGGGCCUGCACUGACGCUCAUGCACGAAAGCGUGGGGAGCAAACAGGAUUAGAUACCCUGGUAGUCCACGCCCUAAACGAUGUCAACUGGUUGUUGGGAAGGUUCCUUCUCAGUAACGUAGCUAACGCGUGAAGNUGGCCGCCUGGGGAGUACGGCCGCAAGGUUG